CCUACGGGUGACAGCAGUGGGGAAUAUUGGGCAAUGGAGGAAACUCUGACCCAGCAACGCCGCGUGAAUGAUGAAGGUCUUCGGAUUGUAAAGUUCUUUUCUACGGGGAGAAGAAAGUGACGGUCCCUUAGGAAUGAGCCUCGCCUAACAACGUGCCAGCAGCCUCGCUAAUACGUAGGCGGCGAGCGUUAUCCGGAAUGACUGGGCGUAAAGGGUGCGUAGGUGGUUUGGCCAGUUAGUAGGGUAAUGCCAAGGCCUAACCUUGGAACUACUACUAAAACUGUUUGUCUCGAGUGCUGGAGGGGCAAGCGGAAUUCCUCGUGUAGCGGUGGAAUGCGUAGAUAUCAGGAGGAACACCAGUGGCGAAGGCGGGUUGCUAGACUGUCACUGACACUGAGGCACGAAAGCGUGGGGAGCAAACAGGAUUAGAUACCCCUGUAGUC
rnacentral:rRNA from 1 species